GUCGUACAGGUCUCCGUAGGUGAACCUGCGGAGGGAUCAUUACACAAAUAUGAAGGCGGGCUGGAACCUCUCGGGGUUACAGCCUUGCUGAAUUAUUCACCCUUGUCUUUUGCGUACUUCUUGUUUCCUUGGUGGGUUCGCCCACCACUAGGACAAACAUAAACCUUUUGUAAUUGCAAUCAGCGUCAGUAACAAAUUAAUAAUUACAACUUUCAACAACGGAUCUCUUGGUUCCGGCAUCGAUGAAGAACGCAGCGAAAUGCGAUAAGUAGUGUGAAUUGCAGAAUUCAGUGAAUCAUCGAAUCUUUGAACGCACAUUGCGCCCUUUGGUAUUCCAAAGGGCAUGCCUGUUCGAGCGUCAUUUGUACCCUCAAGCUUUGCUUGGUGUUGGGCGUCUUGUCUCUAGCUUUGCUGGAGACUCGCCUUAAAGUAAUUGGCAGCCGGCCUACUGGUUUCGGAGCGCAGCACAAGUCGCACUCUCUAUCAGCAAAGGUCUAGCAUCCAUUAAGCCUUUUUUUCAACUUUUGACCUCGGAUCAGGUAGGGAUACCCGCUGAGCUUAAGCAUAUC
rnacentral:rRNA from 1 species